UACGGAGGGGGCUAGCGUUGUUCGGAAUUAUUGGGCGUAAAGGGCGCGUAGGCGGCUAGAUGUGUCAAAGGUGAAAUCCCUCGGCUCAACUGAGGAACUGCCUUUGAAACUGUCUGGCUUGAGGCCGGGAGAGGGUAGCGGAAUUCCCAGUGUAGCGGUGAAAUGCGUAGAUAUUGGGAGGAACACCAGUGGCGAAGGCGGCUACCUGGACCGGUUCUGACGCUGAGGCGCGAAAGCGUGGGUAGCAAACAGG
rnacentral:rRNA from 1 species